UACGUAGGGUGCAAGCGUUAAUCGGAAUUACUGGGCGUAAAGCGUGCGCAGGCGGUUGUGCAAGACAGAUGUGAAAUCCCCGGGCUCAACCUGGGAACUGCAUUUGUGACUGCACGGCUGGAGUGCGGCAGAGGGGGAUGGAAUUCCGCGUGUAGCAGUGAAAUGCGUAGAGAUGUGGAGGAACACCGAUGGCGAAGGCAGCCCCCUGGGCUAACACUGACGCUCAUGCACGAAAGCGUGGGGAGCAAACAGG
rnacentral:rRNA from 1 species